rnacentral:lncRNA from 1 species
UGUUUUGGCUUCGUUUCUAUGGCUGGAUGCCCUCCCUAACGCAAACCACUCCACAGAGUUAACCAUUUUAGUCAUAAUAUUGUAGCCAUGGUAAAAUGCCACCUUCAAGAUUUUAGUCAGUUGUAUCAUCACUCAGUACUUAUUGAUAUCUGUUUGUCAAGCCACUAUGUUAAGGGACAUAACAUAAACAACACCAGUUUUUAGACUGAUGUAAACCUAAACAAACAUAGACAUAUAUUAUAUACAAUGAGGUUCUGCACAGUUUCCAGCUACCAAAGUCAAACCAACAAGGUUUUGGUCAACAUAUAUCUGCAAUAGAAGACACCAAGGUGUUGUGUUGUGAGAAGAAUCUCAGAACCAUGUGACUACAAAGCAAAAUUCUUAAUUGCAUGGCUGUAUCUUCACCUUUGUAGUUAUUAGAAACAGAAUCUUAACAUAGCCUCAUCAGAAAUAUAUUUAACACACUGAUUUUUUUAAAAUCUGCUUUUCCAUGCUAGCAUGGUUUGAAUGGGGAAUUGAUUGUGAGGCAAAUAUUUUACAGCUGGGUGCUCUUCCUGUUGCCAGAUCUUACCUGCUUUGUCUUUUCUGGUGAAGUAUUUAUGUACUCCACAGAUCAUUGAAGUCACAAAGAGUGUGACUGGUCAUGAUGCCAACAUCAGCUCUGCUUUGCUCAAAUGGAUAAGUGAAUAUUCAACAUUCACGUACACAGGGCGUUAGUUUCAAAUAUCAUUAUUUUAAUGUCCAUGAAAUUUAUUGAAGCAAAUUUUUCACAGCUGGAUGCCCUUCCUGUCACUAACCCUUGCUUGAUUCCAAGCAAGAUAGACAUAGCAUGGGGUCAAAAUCAACUACGGUUAAAUCAUAAUUAACUAAAUUUGUGUAAUGUUUUUAACCAGAUUUUGUAAUUUUUAUUUUUUUGUCUUUCCCUUUUAGGUGAAAAACCAUACCAGUGUGAAUAUCCAGGUUGUAACAAAGCAUUUUGUCAGAGUGGUCAACUUCGGACUCACUUGAGACGUCACACAGGGGAGAAACCUUUUCAUUGUACAGUUCCAGGUUGUAAAAGCGAGUUUGCCCAUUCUAAUCGCCAGUGUCCUCUCCAUCCUUAUGCCUCUUUGGAAAGAGUCUACAUGCCAACCAAAAUCUCCAGCCAUUCACCACGUGUGUCUAAGAGAACUACUCGUAUAGAAACAAGAAGGAAAAGUAGGAAGAUGAACAGCUCAACUCUCACAGCUAACUUAAACCAUCCAUUAUCAUCUCGAGAAGAUUAUUGCCUGAACAAUUGCAAAGUUGAAGGGACUAGACUUUCAAGGGAGCAGAAAGACGAAUUUAUUUCAGCAUUGGCUCUUGUUGAAUUAGCCCAAGGAUUCUUGAAGCAUGACACUAAUAAUAACCACAUGUGAUAAACAUAGUGUCUUCAGGUUUUCCAGAUUAAUAUUUACAUGCUUGUGUGCUUCGAGAUCCACUGUUCCAGAAUAAGAAUUUAAAGUUCUCUCGAAAUUUUAUAAAUAGUUUUUUUUUUUUUUAUCCUUUUAAUAUUCAAUUGUAAAAUUGGAAUAAUGGGACAAAAUCAUUUUUGACAUGAACUUUCAACAUGCAAAUUGCAACCACCAAGAUGUUAUUUUGUUAAAAAUUCUAUUGUUUUUUGGGGGUUUUUUCUCACCAAGGAAAAUGACUGUUUUAAUAUAUAAAAUGUUUAUGAAUCUUCAAGUGAAAAGCAUAUCCGUCCAAAACAAUGACAAAGAGUUCUUAUUUUUCCUAAUUAUUUAUCAUAAUAGCCACAGAACAUGUCAUCACCAAAAAUUUACCUCUUGUAACAUUCCAUAUUUAAAAACAAAAUUUUUAUUUUAUUCGUUUUUAC